rnacentral:rRNA from 1 species
GUGAGUAACGCGUAGACAACCUACCUUCUAGCUGGGGACAACACUGCGAAAGUGGUGCUAAUACCGAAUGUUGUAUUUUGAGUGCAUACUUAAAAUACAAAAGGUGGCCUCUAUUUAUAAGCUAUCACUAGAAGAUGGGUCUGCGUCUGAUUAGCUAGUUGGUGAGGUAACGGCUCACCAAGGCGACGAUCAGUAGCCGGUCUGAGAGGAUGAACGGCCACACUGGGACUGAGACACGGCCCAGACUCCUACGGGAGGCAGCAGUGGGGAAUCUUCCGCAAUGGACGAAAGUCUGACGGAGCAACGCCGCGUGAGUGAAGAAGGUUUUCGGAUCGUAAAACUCUGUUUUCAGGGACGAAUGUGUGGAUUGUAAAUAAUGAUCCAUAAUGACGGUACCUGACAAGAAAGCCACGGCUAACUACGUGCCAGCAGCCGCGGUAAUACGUAGGUGGCAAGCGUUGUCCGGAAUUAUUGGGCGUAAAGCGCGCGCAGGUGGGAUAAUCAGUCUGAUGUUAAAGUUCGGGGCUUAACCCCGUGAAGCAUUGGAUACUGUUAUUCUUGAGUGCAGGAGAGGAAAGUGGAAUUCCUAGUGUAGCGGUGAAAUGCGUAGAUAUUAGGAGGAACACCAGUGGCGAAGGCGACUUUCUGGACUGUGUCUGACACUGAGGCGCGAAAGCCAGGGUAGUGAACGGGAUUAGAUACCCC